GUGGAACUGGAGAUGAUCCGUACAGAGUUCAUACGAUCGAGAUCCGAUACCUGACCCUCUGCUGUGGCCUGGACCUGGGCUCAGGAAUCAGACGAAUGAUGAGAAAAAUUUGAACAGAGGAGCUGUGGACAGGCUACUCCUUGAAGGGCAGGAAGGGGAAGAGGGCCUUUAAUGAGCUAUCAAUCUAUGAUGUGAUGCUGUCACAAGAGCGUCCCUGAAAGCACACCCCAAGGCUACCUACCAAGAGGUAGAUGACAAAAUAGCAGACGCUCUCAAACAUGC